UACGUAGGGUGCAAGCGUUGUCCGGAAUUAUUGGGCGUAAAGAGCUCGUAGGCGGUCUGUCGCGUCGGAUGUGAAAAUCCAGGGCUCAACCCUGGACCUGCAUUCGAUACGGGCAGACUAGAGUUCGGUAGGGGAGACUGGAAUUCCUGGUGUAGCAGUGAAAUGCGUAGAUAUCAGGAGGAAUACCGAUGGCGAAGGCAGGUCUCUGGGCUGACACUGACGCUCAUGCACGAAAGCGUGGGGAGCAAACAGG
rnacentral:rRNA from 1 species